UGGGGAAUUUUGGACAAUGGGCGCAAGCCUGAUCCAGCCAUGCCGCGUGCAGGAUGAAGGCCUUCGGGUUGUAAACUGCUUUUGUACGGAACGAAAAGGUGCCUUCUAAUAAAGGGCGCUCAUGACGGUACCGUAAGAAUAAGCACCGGCUAACUACGUGCCAGCAGCCGCGGUAAUACGUAGGGUGCGAGCGUUAAUCGGAAUUACUGGGCGUAAAGCGUGCGCAGGCGGUUUUGUAAGACAGAGGUGAAAUCCCCGGGCUCAACCUGGGAACUGCCUUUGUGACUGCAAGGCUGGAGUGCGGCAGAGGGGGACGGAAUUCCGCGUGUAGCAGUGAAAUGCGUAGAUAUGCGGAGGAACACCGAUGGCGAAGGCAAUCCCCUGGGCCUGCACUGACGCUCAUGCACGAAAGCGUGGGGAGCAAACA
rnacentral:rRNA from 1 species